UGCCUUGCUGCAUUGGCUCAGAGGCAGACUGGGAAGCAGAUGAUACUGAGGACUCCUGGAUUCACAGUCUGUUCUGGUUUCCUCUCUGCACCAGAUGUGUUGUGCAUGGCUCUUUGCACAGCAGCAGAUGCUAUGGGCUGGAAUGCAGCCCGUGGCCAUUUUUGGCACUGCCAAGGAGGGUCAACUCAUUCCAAACCGCCAAGCAGGAAGGACCAAGGUGUAGCAGCCUGUCCACCGUCGGACCUCUCCCCCAUCUGCCAGUCCUCCUGCCUGCCGCUCAGACAC